rnacentral:rRNA from 1 species
UACGAAGGGGGCUAGCGUUGCUCGGAAUCACUGGGCGUAAAGCGCACGUAGGCGGCUUCUUAAGUCAGGGGUGAAAUCCUGGAGCUCAACUCCAGAACUGCCCUUGAUACUGAGGAGCUCGAGUCCGGAAGAGGUGAGUGGAACUGCGAGUGUAGAGGUGAAAUUCGUAGAUAUUCGGAGGAACACCAGUGGCGAAGGCGGCUCACUGGUCCAUUACUGACGCUGAGGUGCGAAAGCGUGGGGAGCAAACAGG